CCCUUUGAUACUCUGGGCGGCACGCGCGCUACAAUGGAUAACUUAACGUGUUACAUGUCCGAAAGGAUGUAUGCAAAUCACAAAUGUUAUGUCUCGAGUGGGAUAGUUUACCGCAAUUAUAGACUUGAACUAGGAAUCCCUUGUAGGUACACUGAAGCAUAGUGUACCGAAUACGUCCCUGCCGUUUGUACACACCGCCCGUCGUUUCUUCCGACUGAUACUCAUUGUGAAUUGCGGGGAUAACGUUGUUGAAAACCGUUGUAAAUGCUGGGUAUUGGAGGAAGAAAAAGUCGUAACA
rnacentral:rRNA from 1 species